rnacentral:lncRNA from 1 species
UGACUUAUUUGUAGAUCUUACUUUGCUGAACAUUAUUGCUGUUUACAGUUUAUCUCUAUCUAUAAUAAUAUUCAAGAUAAUAACCAAAAACAGCAAAAUUUCCUUAAAAUUAUCAAUUCAGGGGAAGCAACCCAACAACGGGUAGUUCGAUUCAUCUGAAAAUUUCAGGGCAGAUAGAUCUUGACCUGAUGAACAAUUUUACCCCAUGACAGAUUUGCUCUAAAUGCUUUGGUUUUUGAGAUAUAAGCCAAAAACUGCAUUUUACCCCUAUGUUCUAUUUUUAGCCGUGGUGGCCAUCUUGGUUAGUUGGCCGGGUCACCGGACACAUUUUUUAAACUAGAUACCCCAAUGAUGAUUGUGGCCAAGUUUGGUUUAAUUUGGCCCAGUAGUUUCAGAGGAGAAGAUUUUUCUAAAAGAUAACUAAGAUUUACGAAAAAUGGUUAAAAAUUGACUAUAAAGGGCAAUAACUCCUAAAGGGGUCAACUGAC